rnacentral:rRNA from 1 species
UACGGAGGGGGCUAGCGUUGUCCGAAGUUACUGGGCGUAAAGCGCGCGUAGGCGGGUUGGUAAGUCCGCUGUUAAAGCCCGGAGCUCAACUCCGGAGGGUCGGUGGAUACUGCCAGUCUUGAAGGUGCUAGGGGGAGAUGGAAUUACCGGUGUAGCGGUGAAAUGCGUAGAUAUCGGUAGGAACACCAGUGGCGAAGGCGGUCUCCUGGGGCAUUCUUGACGCUGAGGCGCGAAAGCUGGGGGAGCGAACGGG